rnacentral:rRNA from 1 species
GAGUUUGAUCAUGGCUCAGAACGAACGCUGGCGGCAGGCCUAACACAUGCAAGUCGAACGCUCGUAGCAAUACGUCAGUGGCAGACGGGUGAGUAACACGUGGGAACGUGCCCAAAGGUACGGAACAACUCCGGGAAACUGGAGCUAAUACCGUAUGUGCCCGAAAGGGGAAAGAUUUAUCGCCUUUGGAUCGGCCCACGUCUGAUUAGCUAGUUGGCGGUGUAAUGGACCACCAAGGCGACGAUCAGUAGCUGGUCUGAGAGGAUGACCAGCCACACUGGGACUGGGACACGGCCCAGACUCCUACGGGAGGCAGCAGUAGGGAAUAUUGGACAAUGGGCGAAAGCCUGAUCCAGCCAUGCCGCGUGAGUGAUGAAGGCCUUAGGGUUGUAAAGCUCUUUCGCCAGGGACGAUAAUGACGGUACCUGGAUAAGAAGCCCCGGCUAACUUCGUGCCAGCAGCCGCAGU